AAAGCGCGAUUACGUUGCACCGCCCCCCGAUACUAAUAUCGAACGUCUGUGGCAACUGCAUGGCCCCAGUCACUUCUGUAGAAUCUAUUGCCUAGUUUGUCUCUCAUAACAGGAGGCAGUGGGUCAGUGCUAACCAGUCCGGUCUAACUAAAACUAGGCAAACUCCACUUUUGUAAUCAGCACUUUGCAUUUUUGGGUGACUUAAAAAGUGAACACAAGUCAAGAUCAAAAAUGACUUCUCCAGCAUUAAACAACGGUAACGGACAAAAAGAAGCCUCGACCAAAGGCUCCCAGGCUCUCCAACAAUCACCUGUCCGAAGCCAGGCGGGAGAAACCUCCCAGACUCAACAACCCACUCCUUCGCUAGUCGCCUGGUGGAGGGUGUUUAAAUAUGUCAAUUUGUUGAUGAAGCAACACUGUUAAACGGCUGUGGAUUAGCAUAUGGUUAGAAUGAGGUUUUAGCAAUUAAAUAAGUCUUUUUUUUGCUAUAGUAAUAUUUUUGUUCAGGGCCGAUUGGGCCUAGCAAAAGUUCAUUUAGAAGUUUAAGAGUUUUAUCUUAAUAUGAAAGUGUAAGCGAGGAGCCAGAUGGGAGUUACACUUCAGUAUCCUAGAAACCGAUCAAUUUUUGAAAUGUUUUCUUUUCAAGAAAGGCAGAUUUUUUAUUCAGAAUCACAGUAUCUUAUUUAGUUGUGAUUCUAAAUUUGAUAACGGCUCCGUUCAUUUCACUUUCCUUACCUAAAAAAUGUUUUUGUUUGCAAAACCAAAUUCGAUCAAGGAUCGUUGAUUUUAAAUAGAACAUAUCAGUGGUUGUUUUAUAUUUUAUUAUAGUACAAAAAUAAAUUUUUAAUGAUUUGAAAACCUUAAAACUAUUGGAGAAUUUUUAUGGCUUCCAAAGAAUAAAAAUAGAGGGUUUUUGCAAUUUUGUAUGCACCAGUGAUUAUCCACUUAAAACGUUUUUUCUUUUAUCCACAAUAAUUUGUCUAGAGUUUUAAAAAUAUAACCAGAUGUUACAAAAAUAUAGCCAAGCCAUUAUAGUAAAUGAAUAUAUUUUAACAAAUUUAAUAAGCAUACUGAAAUUAUGGUUGAAAGCAAAAAUAUGCCAAAAUUUCUUUACUGAAUAUUAUUGUUACACGUAGUUGUUAAGAGUUACAUAUUAUUAAAGAUUUUCCUAUUUUCGUAGAAGUUAUUUAUAAAUUUUAAGCGAAGUUAUACCAUAUUAUAUCACUUUGGUAGUUUGUUAAUUGUAGUUGUUUAAAAGUAGAAUUAUACUUGGCACUCUUCAAGAUAUAUAUGACAAUAUAUUAGCAUAUAGUAAGUGUUUACAAUGUUAAAUCAUUGAACUUAAAAGAUAGUGUGGAUCUAGUCCAUUGGUUUACCAAAUUUUUUGUUGGCUAUAUGCGAAUCGAAAUUUUGAUUGACUAUUUAUAAUGCAACAAUUUAUUAUAUUUAAUGUUUAGUUUUAGGUUUUGUUAGUAUGACUUUCAUUAUGUAAUUGAUCAUAUACGUCCUUUGAGUGAAUUCACUAUUAAAAGUCAAAUUAAAUAUAUUUACCAAAAUAUUGAAAUAAAAGUAUACUGUUAAGAAUUAAACUAUGCAAACUAUAAGUAUAUAAAUUAUCAGAAAUAAUAUUAUAUUUUGUAAAUCAUAUCUGUUAUUUCUUUUGGCAGGGACUUUUGCAUAAUAUUCUAAAAUUAAAGUGUUAUAAAAUAUAUUAUUACCUCCAAUAAAUAUGGGAAUAGUAUAUUAAUUCAUAUCCAAAACUUACCUUUGCAGUUCUUCGUAACAAGAAUCACAAAUCUCGGAUCCAACUGUUGCUGAACGGCAAAUACGCCUUUUUGCAGACAUUUUUUUUUCCACAAGGUCCUUCCUGAAAACAAACUUUUUUAUGACAAAAUGCAUUAUCUUAUUAAGUCUUAACGCAAAUUUUGUCGACGCCUUAAAUAAUUUAACAAUUAAUUGUUAGAAAACUUUUAAUUUAAAUCACCACUAUAGUGUUUUUAAAAACUACCCUCAACAAUUCUUAUGUUCUAAGUUCAGUUCAAUGCAUAACGAGAAAUUAUCUUAUUUUUUUUUAAGUAUAAAAAUAAUUGGAAAAUCUUAGUAAUUUAAUAUGUAGAAAGAAGGAAUAUACAACGUGUCGAGAAGCAAAUCGAUAUUUUUCGCGCUCUGUUUUUCAUAGUUUGCACCUCGUAUAAAAAAAAAAACAUUUUUUUUGUCAAAAAAGUGUGAAUUUUAUAGAAAAAACUUAUUAUUUUCUGAGCCACCUCAAUAUUUUCUGAACUUAUUUAUUACCUUAAUAUUUUCUGAACCACCUCAUCAUCAAAACGGUAGACACUUGAAGAUACGUCAUCUCGCGGACACACUUUUGGACUUUUUAGAGUAGGAGAGAAUAGAGCGCCUAAACUCCACAUUUUCUUCAGUUUUGUGGGUGGCUGAAUCGAUAUUGGAGGCUUACGGCUCGGAGGGUUUUUCUCUGAGAGCUUGGAGAAUGGCGUUGGGGUAGUUGGAGUCGAGGGAUCCAUCUAAAAAUAACAUAUUUAUUAACUAACUUAUUAAAGGCUGUCCUGAUUUUUAAGAAAAAUAAUACUAAUACUAAUAAAAUAAGUACUUUUAGUUUUAAUCUUCUUCCGAAGAUGCCAACAUCGUUAGCGAAACACGUGUCGAGAUUAGAAAUAAAGAGUUUUGUAGUGGUAAAACUGUCUCGUAAUUUGAAUAAAAUACUGUUCAAAAGUGUUUAAACAGUAUUAAACUUACAAGCAAAUAAUAGUACCUAAUAUAAUCUAAUUGCAACAUAACAUAAAAAAGUAAGAAAAAAAAAGAAAAGCGAAAAAAAUUGAUCGAAAAUUGUUAAAGACUUUAUUUUAUAAUUAAUGUUGAAAUAAGGUUUUCUUCUACGUUCUUGAGGCAUGAGAGCAUUCAUAAUGAAAGUCUUUAAUGCAACAUAAACCAGAAAUCUUUACAAGAAAAGGCAAAGAAAAGGGAUUAAUACUUUCAUACCUUGUUGCUAUAAAUACUUCUAUUUUGGCUAAUUUUAUUACUGCAUAGGCAUCUUAUCAGUGAAUUUAUAUAAAUAUGUCAAAUUUGAAAAAAUCCUGCCUAUUGAAACAGGUCAGUUCAUGGAUAUUUUUUAUCUUUGGAUAGACAAAUCUUUAGCAAUGCUUUUUAUGUGAUCAAGAAUGGAUUUAAAAGAGGCCACUCCAUCCAUAUACAUACCAUACCAUAAUUAAGUACCGUAAGAUUCCGCCAAAGUUUAUUACAAUAACGCGUUGUCUUUUUCGACAAAGACUGCCGUAAGAUGUAAAAUUUGUGUAACAAUUUACGGAUUUUAUUUAUUACAUAAUUAAUAUGAACAUCCUAUUUAAGUAGACUAUCAAAAUAUACUCCUAAAUAUUUUAAACUAUUUACACAAUUAAUUCUAAUGCUACAGGAGCAGUGAUCAGAAUUAUGUAAAUAUUGUCCAGAAAUCUGGUAGGCCAGAUCUACUCAUGACAUAAACUUUGUUUUAUCAGUGUUUAAAGUUAGAAGACUGAAAGCAAACCAAUAUUUUACCCUUGAUCAUUAACUCAGCUUAAUUUUCGAACCCCUUCAAGUGAAUUAGUCAAGUAUUAUCUACAAAACAACAUUAUCCCCUAGAAUAACCGAAAACAAACCAUUAAUAUACAGCGUAAAUAAAAGAGGCUCAAGCAGAGUACUUUGUGGCAGACCAUACUCCACUGCACGUUCAGAGCUGAGCAAAUCAUUUACUUUUACCUGCUGUUUUCUAUUUUCUAAAAACGAUUUUAAUAACUGAUUUAAUAGUCCAGUAAAAUCCAUAUUUUCUAAACUAUUCACUAGAAUAUCGUGAGGCACACAAAGGCGUUUGCUAAAUCAAAAGAGAUGGUCAUAUAUUUCAUGCUUUCGUUCAAACCAGAGACAAUGCGGUUAUUUGCUUUUAUAGGAGCAUCCUCCUUGCUGAAAUUUUCUCUAAACUCGUGAUGUUUAUUAGAUAUUAAACUAUACUUAUUUAUAAAUUGAGUAAGGCGAAAUUUUAAGUACUUUUUAAUUAAUAUACAAAGCAAUUGACUUGUAUCGUAUCUAGAUGGUUCUGAAUAUAUUAUCAACAUUG